rnacentral:rRNA from 1 species
ACGGAAGGCAGCAGUGGGGAAUAUUGGACAAUGGGGGAAACCCUGAUCCAGCGACGCCGCGUGAGUGAAGAAGUAUUUCGGUAUGUAAAGCUCUAUCAGCAGGGAAGAUAAUGACGGUACCUGACUAAGAAGCCCCGGCUAACUACGUGCCAGCAGCCGCGGUAAUACGUAGGGGGCAAGCGUUAUCCGGAUUUACUGGGUGUAAAGGGAGCGUAGGCGGCUGUGCAAGUCAGAAGUGAAAGCCCGGGGCUUAACUCCGGGACUGCUUUUGAAACUGCAUGGCUUGAGUGCAGGAGAGGUAAGCGGAAUUCCUAGUGUAGCGGUGAAAUGCGUAGAUAUUAGGAAGAACACCGGUGGCGAAGGCGGCUUACUGGACUGAGACUGACGCUGAGGCUCGAAAGCGUGGGGAGCAAACAGGAUUAGAUACCCUGGUA